rnacentral:rRNA from 1 species
CUGGUGGGUAGUUUGACUGGGGCGGUCUCCUCCCAAAGAGUAACGGAGGAGCACGAAGGUGGGCUAAUCACGGUUGGACAUCGUGAGGUUAGUGCAAUGGCAUAAGCCCGCUUAACUGCGAGAAUGACGGUUCGAGCAGGUGCGAAAGCAGGUCAUAGUGAUCCGGUGGUUCUGUAUGGAAGGGCCAUCGCUCAACGGAUAAAAGGUACUCCGGGGAUAACAGGCUGAUACCGCCCAAGAGUUCAUAUCGACGGCGGUGUUUGGCACCUCGAUGUCGGCUCAUCACAUCCUGGGGCUGAAGUCGGUCCCAAGGGUAUGGCUGUUCGCCAUUUAAAGUGGUACGCGAGCUGGGUUUAGAACGUCGUGAGACAGUUCGGUCCCUAUCUGCCGUGGGCGUUGGAAGAUUGAAGGGGGCUGCUCCUAGUACGAGAGGACCGGAGUGGACGAACCUCUGGUGUUCGGGUUGUGUCGCCAGACGCAUUGCCCGGUAGCUAAGUUCGGAAUCGAUAACCGCUGAAAGCAUCUAAGCGGGAAGCCAACUCCAAGAUGAAUCAUCCCUGAAGAUCCGCAGAAGACUACUGCGUUGAUAGGCUGGGUGUGUAAGUGAUGAAAGUCAUUUAGCUGACCAGUACUAAUAGAUCGUUUGUAUUUACUUU